GACGAACGCUGGCGGCGUGCCUAAUACAUGCAAGUUGAGCGCUGAAGGUUGGUACUUGUACCAACUGGAUGAGCAGCGAACGGGUGAGUAACGCGUGGGGAAUCUGCCUUUGAGCGGGGGACAACAUUUGGAAACGAAUGCUAAUACCGCAUAAAAACUUUAAACACAAGUUUUAAGUUUGAAAGAUGCAAUUGCAUCACUCAAAGAUGAUCCCGCGUUGUAUUAGCUAGUUGGUGAGGUAAAGGCUCACCAAGGCGAUGAUACAUAGCCGACCUGAGAGGGUGAUCGGCCAAAUUGGGACUGAGACACGGCCCAAACUCCUACGGGAGGCAGCAGUAGGGAAUCUUCGGCAAUGGACGAAAGUCUGACCGAGCAACGCCGCGUGAGGGAAGAAGGUUUUCGGAUCGUAAAACUCUGUUGGUAGAGAAGAACGUUGGUGAGAGUGGAAAGCUCAUCAAGUGACGGUAACUACCCAGAAAGGGACGGCUAACUACGUG
rnacentral:rRNA from 1 species